rnacentral:tRNA from 1 species
CCCUGGGUGGCUCAGUAGGUUGGGCAUCUGACUUUGGCUCAGGUCAUGAGCUCACGGUUCGUGGGUUUGAGCCCCACUUAGGGCU